GACGUAGGGCGCGAGCGUUGUCCGGAAUCAUUGGGCGUAAAGCGCGCGUAGGUGGCCCCAUAAGUCCGCUGUGAAAGUCAAAGGCUCAACCUUUGAAAGCCGGUGGAUACUGUGGGACUAGAGUACGGAAGAGGCGAGUGGAAUUCCUGGUGUAGCGGUGGAAUGCGCAGAUAUCAGGAGGAACACCAAUAGCGAAGGCAGCUCGCUGGGCCGUAACUGACGCUGAGGAGCGAAAGCGUGGGGAGCGAACAGG
rnacentral:rRNA from 1 species